GGGGAUUUAGCUCAGUGGUAGAGCGCUUGCCUAGGAAGUGUGCAAGGCCCUGGGUUCGGUCCCCAGCUCCA
rnacentral:tRNA from 1 species